CUUACACGAUUGCUUUUCCUAUUGUUGAAUUAAGAUUGCUUCUCUUAGUCUACGAGCAAGUUUUUGUUGUUUCAAUGAUUAACGAGGAAAUUUAUUGGUCUAAACAAUAGCAUUAUAGGACUAGUUGUUUAAGAUUUCGCGAGUAUCAUUUGCGUCCCAAAAUUUCAGAACAAAAUAAUUUCAAUUUGCACAUUUUCUCUGGUUGUGUAUAGGUCAUAGUGCGCAAGAUUAUGUUCUUGAUCUUGAUAACCAACAACGGGGGGCAAGGGAGUAUUUGAAGUAUCGCAUUGAGGAUUUGAAAAAUCUGCAGCGCAAACAUAAGACGAUAGAAGAUCAUUUUCAUACAAACAGCAUAGGAAUGAAAGAAGAAAUUGAUGCAACUUAUAAAAUCUUAGAAGG